UGCCAGCCGCCGCGGUAAUACGAAGGGGGCUAGCGUUGUUCGGAAUUACUGGGCGUAAAGCGCGCGUAGGCGGAUAUUUAAGUCAGGGGUGAAAUCCCAGGGCUCAACCCUGGAACUGCCUUUGAUACUGGGUAUCUGGAGUUCGGGAGAGGUGAGUGGAAUUCCGAGUGUAGAGGUGAAAUUCGUAGAUAUUCGGAGGAACACCAGAAGCGAAGGCGGCUCACUGGCCCGAAACUGACGCUGAGGCGCGAAAGCGUGGGGAGCAAACAGGAUUAGAUA
rnacentral:rRNA from 1 species